UACGUAGGGUGCCAGCGUUAUCCGGAAUUAUUGGGCGUAAAGAGCUCGUAGGCGGUUUGUCGCGUCUGCUGUGAAAACUGGAGGCUCAACCUCCAGCCUGCAGUGGGUACGGGCAAACUAGAGUGCGGUAGGGGAGAUUGGAAUUCCUGGUGUAGCGGUGGAAUGCGCAGAUAUCAGGAGGAACACCGAUGGCGAAGGCAGAUCUCUGGGCCGUAACUGACGCUGAGGAGCGAAAGCAUGGGGAGCGAACAGG
rnacentral:rRNA from 1 species